rnacentral:rRNA from 1 species
GAUGAACGCUGGCGGCGUGCUUAACACAUGCAAGUCGAACGGAAAGGCUCCUGCUUGCAGGGGUACUCGAGUGGCGAACGGGUGAGUAACACGUGGGUGAUCUGCCCUGCACUUCGGGAUAAGCCUGGGAAACUGGGUCUAAUACCGGAUAGGACGAUGGUUUGGAUGCCAUUGUGGAAAGUUUUUCGGUGUGGGAUGAGCUCGCGGCCUAUCAGCUUGUUGGUGGGGUAAUGGCCUACCAAGGCGUCGACGGGUAGCCGGCCUGAGAGGGUGUACGGCCACAUUGGGACUGAGAUACGGCCCAGACUCCUACGGGAGGCAGCAGUGGGGAAUAUUGCACAAUGGGCGCAAGCCUGAUGCAGCGACGUCGCGUGGGGGAUGACGGCCUUCGGGUUGUAAACUCCUUUCGCUAGGGACGAAGCGCAAGUGACGGUACCUGGAGAAGAAGCACCGGCUAACUACGUG